AAUACUAUAAAAAGGAGAAGUGAUGUACAAGAUGGUAAUUUUACGAUGUGUAUCAAUUUUAAAGCAACAUGUACAAGGUGCUUAAAGCCAUGGAAUUUGGAAUUUCCACUCAAGUUUAAGACGCCAAAGGGGGUAAUGUUGGUAUUUCAACACAUACGCUUCUCUUCCACAUUAUUGCAGGUGAUUGAAUGCUGAAACUAAAGCAUUCGUGCGUUUCCAUCCCACCCAACCAAGCGUCGCUCCCUCAUGUUCAUAUAGAACCCCAGUCAAGCGCAGAUUAGGGUCUUUCUUGCUUGCGAAUUGCCCUCGUUGCUUCAACAAACCCUAAUUUUCAGAUCUCAUGGAUUUCCAUAGCCUUACCAGAACAGAUCUUCAAUCUCUCUGCAAACUGAACAAGAUCCCUGAUAACAUCACCAAUGUCGCCAUGGCUGAUGCUCUCCAAUCUCUCGAUGUGGUAAGUUGUUUUGUUUUUGUUUUAAUUUGAUUUGUUGAUUUUUAAUUCCUCAUUGCAGCUGAUUGUUGAUUACCUCAGCCCUCGUUCUUGGUUUAAUACUUGGAUUCGAUUAUGAAAUGAGGAUAUGUUGUUUGUAAUUGACAAAAUUUAUGAGUUUUAUUUAGUGUUAUGGAUAUUAAUUCCUGGACGUUCUAAGUAAACAACCACCUGCUGUUGUUUCUUCGGUCUCAAAUUGCAACCCUAGGAUGAAAAAUUGCAGAAGAGAACGGUUGGAUGUACUAGCGGUGACAAUAAGGUUUUCCUCAGUCGUCAGCGGCGUUGUGGUUCAAGGUUGUGAAACAGUUGGGGUGGUGGUUAGGGUUCAGCCAUAAAAGGGUCUUACGCGUCUUCCAACGGCUAUGGUUCCGCCAUGAAAUAGUGGCAACGACGAUGUAUUCUUCAUCAGAAUCGGUACGGUUGGGGUAAAUUUUUGGGUUACCGUGUUCUAUUAUUCUUCUCUGGUAACUAUCAGUUGGUGGUUGUGGAGUUUUUCCACCGGAGUUCGUUCAUAUUUGCGAUAUAUCUUAUCGAGAUUGAAUUAAUAUCUAUGAAAUGCUUUGUAUUACUUCAGGUCAGUUUUUCAAUUUGAGUUGAUUGAGAAAUUGUUUACAUCUCCACAUUUCAUAUUCUGGUGAGUAGUAUUGCAGUUUUGUUGCAGUUCAAUUUUCUUGUUUUUCUUUAAAUAUUAUUUUUAAAUGUAGAAGAAUCGCUGCUCAUAGUCAUCCUUGAUGUCAUUGAUCAAAAGUGGGUAUAUACACUCUACUGUAUUUUUGUUCUUAAUAUGUUACUAUAACAUUUAGAGUCCUUGCCUUUCGUAUUCAAUUUGAUGAAUUGUUUCGCAUGUUUUGUGUUUGUAAAUAUAUUAGAAUUAGAGUUUGCUUUGGUUAAUGGCAACUGACAUGGUGAGGGGUCAAAUUAACUUGAAAGGGAGUGGCUCCAUGCUAGGGGCGACAAUUCUUGACACGAGCCAUCAACCCGACAUGAAAAAAACAAGAUUAGGUCGACUAACACAACCCGUUUAAAAAAACGGGUCGGUUCGGGUUGACCGUAUUAAAAGCGGGUCGGGUUCAGGUUGACCCGUAUAAAAAACAGGUUGACCUAUUAACCCGUUUAACUAUUUAGAAAAACAAUCUUUUAUAUUUUUUUUUUUUGUUUUUUUUCCUGUUUUUAUUUUACAUGGUUAGUUAUAAUAAUGUUAAUUUUGAUACAUUAUAUUAUUUAUUAGUCACACUCAUACUCAUCAUUAAACAUGUUAUCGGUAACCUGCUUAAAACCCAAUAACUCGAUAACAAAUCAUCAACUUAUAUGACUCAUUUCAAAAUAUGGGUUAAACGGGUCGGGUUCGGGUUGACCCGAAUUUAUAUGGGUCGGGUUUGGGUAGAACAUUUCAACCAGCCAACCCGCAACCCUUUAACCCGCCAACCCAUCAACCCGACACGAGUGACACCCCUACUCCACGUUGUUUACAUUUAGUUUAUGUAUUAGUUCAUGCAAAUUGAUGGAUUAUGCAAUACUCUGUUGAAUAAUCCCGUCGAUAGUGUAAGAGAUGUGUUAUAGCCUCAUAACUCUAAAGAAAUUGGUAUUAGUUUGCUUGAUUGAAUUGUUGGAUGAUUGAACAUUUGUUUGUUUGAGUUAAUAUGCAUAGUGUAGACCAAUACAAUUACUUCAGCCACUAAUGUUUCAGUUUCAGCCAAAUUUCCUUUUUUUAUAGCUAAACAGUGGGAGCAUGUAGGACCCCUUGCACCGAGUGAACCAAAUGGUAUUUCAGAAUAUUGGCAUCAAAUGCAAAGCUGAUCGUGUUGAUGGCGGUUACUUCUUAAAGGGAACAAGCUGUGGUGCAUCAAUGGUCCCAUUGAUCAAAGCCCUUAAUGUUUCAGUUUCAGUCUAAUUGCCUUUUUUUUUUAUAGCUAAACAGUGGGAGCAUGUGGGACGCCUUGCAACGAGUGAACCAAAUGGUAUUUCAGAGUUGUAGAACUUGAUUUUCUUUACCCAAGUGAAGGAAUACAUCGUAGAUGGGAGAGUGGGUACAGGAUACCAUCUAUGGCUGCCACACCUGAUCAAGCAGCGUUCAUUUUGAGUUUCCCGUGGCGUAAAAUAAUGGACGAGACACAAGAAACCUUGAGAACAUCCGCCUUCCAGAGUACCCAUGUGAAGGAAAAAUGGUCAAAGAACCAUUAUAUUGCAUCCUGUGUUAUGGUUGAACCGUAUGCUGACUGAUGCUGGUAACAGAGGCUACAUUUUACUGAAAACCCCCACUGGAGUUGAAUACAUUUGGGGGUUUUAUAAACUGGGAUUCCGUGUGAACGGAAAAUUUUGGCGUAACGUAAAGAUGGCCGUGCUGUAUUACUAUGUAACAUCAUAAUAGAGUUGAUAAAGACAAGUAAGAAACCAAAAAAAAAAAAAAAGAGUGUAUAUAAACUAUAAAGAGAAAUGUGUGUCAAAUAUGAAUUUAAGUUAGGGUGUA